rnacentral:rRNA from 1 species
AUUGAACGCUGGCGGCAGGCCUAACACAUGCAAGUCAGGCGAGCGGCGGACGGGUGAGUAAUGUAUGGGGAUCUGCCUGAUGGAGGGGGAUAACUACUGGAAACGGUAGCUAAUACCGCAUACCCUCAGAUGACCCCAUAUGGGAUUAGCUUGUAGGUAAGGUAACGGCUUACCUAGGCGACGAGCCCUAGCUGGUCUGAGAGGAUGAUCAGCCACACUGGGACUGAGACACGGCCCAGACGCCUACGGGAGGCAGCAGUGGUGAAUAUUGCAAAAGGGGCGCAAGCCUGAUGCAGCCAUGCCGCGUGGAUGAAGAAGGCCUGCGGGUUGGAAAGUAUUUUCAGUCGGGAGGCGUUACCGACAGAAGAAGCAUCGGCUAACUCCGUGCCAGCAGCCGCGGUAAUUC